AGAAUCAACGCUGGCGGCGUGCCUAACACAUGCAAGUCACACGAGAAAGGGCAGCAAUGCCUGAGUACAGUGGCGCACGGGUGAGUAACACGUGAAUGAUCUACCUCCGAGUGGGGAAUAACUGAGGGAAACCUUAGCUAAUACCGCAUAACACUUACGAGUCAAAGCCGCAAGGCGCUUGGAGAGGAGUUCGCGGCAGAUUAGUUAGUUGGCAGGGUAAUGGCCUACCAAGACGAUGAUCUGUA
rnacentral:rRNA from 1 species